UCGUCGUCUGACAACCUGGUGACCUCCCCCCCGUCCUGCUCAGACACGUCGUCGUCCGGGGCCAUCUUGCGGUCCUUCUUCUUGGAUGCCACCUGAGGCAGGGGAGGAAGCGACAGGAGCCGGAUGACUGGGAGGCUCUGCCUGAGUCCAGGGAAGGGCCCAGGAAGACCAGGAGGGGGGGAGGGGGCUGCUCCCACUACGGGGCAAUGGAUGGAAAGCGGUUGAGGCCAGCCACGGCCGGGCCAAGCGACUGGCCAAGAUGUCCUGAGGUCUCUUCCAGUUCUACGACUUUAUUGUGAUUCUGAGAGCUUCAAGUCAAGACCCAGAUUUGCCACUGAGCCAUCUAGGAUCAUUUUUUCCCCUCUAAUGAAUUGUUCUCCUCUC